GUGGUUUGUUCCAACAUGACUGCUGAGCUGAGCAGUGCUGUAGUCCUGGACACCACACAGAGUGAUGCUGGUUCCUGCCGACAGGGCCUGUCAAGUGGUCGGGCUCCCUGUGCGAUGGUUCCACACAAA